CGCCGCCCUCUGCCCACGGCAGGCGGGGAGCGGAGCCGGCACGGGGCCGGGGAGGGAGGGGUGCGGGGUUCCGAGCAUCCUCAGAGCUCGCCCUGCGGGGAGAAGGAGCAGUACUGGAUUCUCCGAUGCUGCCGGAAGAAGAGGGGUGGCCGGUGUCGCCCCGCUGUCCGUCUCUCACCGGGCAUUUGGGACGAUCUUGCUCCCCUCCACCCGUAGCACACGAGCCGGAUCAGCCCCCUGCCCAGUGCUCCAGAGCCCCCGUCGGUGGCAGCAGCCCCGGUCUCCUUUCUUGCGGUGCCGCGAGUUGUGUUAUCGGGCACACGGGAGUGCGUUCGAGAGUUGUUGCCUACAGGGGUCAAUGAAUGCACCCUCCUGGGUCGAGUGCUUCCUCCUGGCCCCUAGUCAGUAGGUGCUGCGUGUUUGUCCAGAGCAUGAAAUGCUCUCCCUGAGAGCUGUCACUACACUGUAGGUGACGCAGAAAGACAGAACACCUCCUCUGGCUCCCACUGUCUGGUGAUAACGAGCGUGAUUGAACAGCACCCCAAGGAAGGGCAGCUGGAGAGGACAAACCCUGCAGCUGAGCGCCUCAUCCUUAACUCUUUGUACCUUGGCACACUUCCUAUGUGAGCUCAGACAUUCAGGACAAUUAAUUUAAUUAACAAAAGGUGUAAAUUAAAAGUGUCUGUGAACUGUAUUGAAACUCAGUUUGCAUGCACUUAUUCGCAACAGAACUGGCUGCAAUUUGAUUUAAAUUAACUCACUUUCAGAAUAAAAUAACAUUGACUAAAAUAAAAGCA
rnacentral:lncRNA from 1 species